GGGUCUUUGCUGCUGCACACGGGCUUUCUCUAGCUGCGGUGAGCGGGGACUACUCUUCAUUGUGGUGCACGGGCUUCUCAUUGCGGUGGCUUCUCUUGUUGCGGAGCAUGAGCUCUAGGCACACGGGCUUCAGUAGUUGUGGCAUGCGGGCUCAGUAGUUGUGCACAGGCUUAGUUGCUCCGUGGCAUGUGGGAUCUUCCCAGACCAGGGCUCGAACCCAUGUCCCCUGAUUAGCAGGCAGAUUCUUAACCACUGCACCAUAUAAUAUAAUGGAGGGAAGCCCUCCAUUAUAUUUCAAUGACAGAAAAGAAUUAAUGUUACUUUUUCUCAUUUGCUUGAGCAUGUCUGAAAUUCAUACCCUCUCUUUUCUACUGAAAAGAAAACAAAGCUGAUCACUCCUCACUGCUUAGGGAGUGGCCAUCCCAGCACCCCAGCUCCUUUGGUGACUGUACUCCAUCUUUCCCUUUGGCAAGCUGCCCCUCCUCCAUUUCAUUUUUUUUUUUUUUUUUUUUAAUUUUGGCCUCGCUGCACGGCACGCAGGAUCUUAGUUCCCCGACCAGGGAUCGAACCCACACCCCCUGCAGUGGAAGUGCGGAGCCUUAACCACUGGAAAGCCAGGGAAUUCCCACCCCUCCUCCAUUAUGUCAGCACCUGGAGGUCCUUUCAGUCAGGGUGCCUGGCCUGUGUCCAGGGUUGGACGUGUGAGCCACCCAGGCCAGCUAGACCUUCUCCCCUAGAACCCACUGGCACAGAACUGAAAGCCACUGGGCCUACAUCGUUCCAGUGGCCCAGGAGAGACCACUCAAGGGUUCCUGCUACCAAGGUCCCUGGAUCUUCUUGGGCUCCUCUUCUGCACUGCAAAGGAGGGCAGUACUUUGGAGUCGGCCAGCACCUUCCCACACUCUCCUUUCCCUUAAUUUAGCCAGAAUUGGUUUCUAUUGUCUGUCACCAAAGAGCCCUGACUGACAUGUGACACGGCCUGUUCAGGCAGACACUCAGUGGUGUCCUUUAUAUUUUUCAGUGCGGAGGUCACAUGGUUGGGCCAUGUGUUGGCCUGGGCACCUACAGUUCUUGCCAAAAGGGUCACUUGAGCGAGGAACACUGAUUUAUCUGAAUAGCAAUCUGUCAACAACCCCUUGGAGGAAACCAAACCCCCUGGUCCACUGCCUUGGGCCACAUACUUUCCUCUCCCAACCAGGGAAGUCUCAGCUCCCCAUCUCUCAGUGGCUCUCUUCCUCUUUGUAAUUCCAGACCUCAGUCUAGCCUGGGACUUCUUCCCACCGAAGCCACCAGGGACACCGAGUACAGUGCCGUGCUCAUCCUAGAUCUUCAUUACAACUCUUCGAGCUCUCUCUGGAGGGCAUCCCGCUCUGCUGCAAGUUUCUGUAACCAGAGGGCACGGUCACGGGCUGCAGGGCUGAGUGGGACUCGGCCACGGCUGAGCCCUCGCUCUCACUCGCUGGUGAGACCAGAGCUGGGAGGGGACUUGUUGAGGUCACAGAGCAAGUCAGUGGAGCCGGAGCCCUGACUCCCAGCCUCGGCCUCCCGGGGUGUCAGGCAGCCCAAGCACAUGAUGGACGUGACCCAGAUGGAUGACAGCCCGAGAACACAGGGGCCAGACUCGGACACAAGAGGAAACCCACUGGCCAACGCUGGGUGUGUCCUCCCGAGGACCCUCAAUCCCUGCCUGAGAGGCAAAAAGAGAAAAGCCAUGCUUCAGUGGACAGCGCCAAGCCUAGGGUUCAAAGUGAAGUGCCUCAUUCCACUAAGAGCUAGUUUCAGGUCCAGCAUCUCCAAAACAGCCAGAAUGGGGCCACCCGACGUUCAUGAAAUGGGCUCUGGGUGAGGAACCAGUCAGGCAGCUCAAGGUGGAUGGAUAGGACGUGAGGAACUGGCACAGAGGUGACCCCAAACCCCAGAGCCUCCAAGUCCUCACAGGGGUGGUCGUGGUCUCCUGGCCCCAGGCGCCCCGACCUUCUUCCAGGCACACAUUACCUCCCAGCUUUCCUGUUUUUCCCUCUCCAGGUUGUGGAUCCUCAGCAGAUUUUUCUCCUGUGCCGACAGCUUCCUUGGAUUGGGAUAGACAGACAGCUCAUCACUGGCUGUUUCUACCGACCGGUUCUGGGUCUGUCCCAGCUGUUUCUCAAGUUCUCGAACCUGAGGGUGGUUCCACAACAGGUCUGCAGUCAGACUCGACUCUCACAGGGGCCGCCCUGUGAUGUGACAGGACACCCCACUAGACAGACGACAACACGGUUCCAGAUGGACGUGGAGGUCCCUCAUCUGUGAAGAGGCCUGUGAGUACACACUGCAUAAUGUUGUUAAUGAGAAUUCAGUACCCUGAACUUGUCUGAGCCUGGGAAUCCCCAAGACGCUUCUUGGGAUGACAAAUCUUGGGGUCCACUCCAUACCAACAAGUCAGAGCUCCAGGGGAAGAACUCGGGGAUCUGCACUUUAAACAGGUGCUACAGGUGAGGAGACUGCGACACAGAGAGAUGAAGAGAUUUGCCCAAAGACACCAAACUUAUAGACCAGUGACUGAGGCCAGACUCAAACUCAGGUCUCCUGAACCACAAGGCCACACAUUGGUCGUUAACCACAGUUUUUCAGAGACCUCUCCCCCUUCAUGUUGGCUUCAGGGAUCCCACAGGAGACCCUGAGGGUGAAAGCCACCUGGGAACCUGGGGAUGAAGGCAAUGUACUUGGCAAAUAGUGGAAACGACACACCGAUUUGUGCGACUCUUGGUUUCUUGGUACAGCUAACCUUCGGACGGUGUUUCCUCCAUGCCAGGCACUGUGGUAAGCAAUUUACGCAUCUGUACUCAUUCAGUCCUCCCAACAACACUGUGGAGUAGGCACUGUCAUUAUCCACAGUACACAGAGGAGGAAACUGAGGCACAGAGAGGCGAAGCAACUUGCCCAAGGCCACACGGUGGGUGGUGGGCUGAGAUAUGAAGCCAAGCAGUCUGGCUGCGGAGCCCCUGUUCCUAGCCUCUAGAGAUGCUGCAAAAUAUUUAGAGCAUAAAGAGGGAGACAGGCUAAGUUUUUUUUUGGGGGGGGUUGGUAAUUAAAACCUUCAAAAGCCUACAGGCAUCUGGACAAAAGUGGAAAAAGCCUACAAGUACAACAGUCACGCAAAUUUACAUGAACUAGGGAAAAAAAAUGUGCCUGGAGUAAAAUAAAUCAAAGGCUCUGGCAUUUGUUGAGCGCCAGUGCCUGGUAUGUAGUGUUAUAUAAAUGCUUGUUCACUUAAUAACAAAUGAAAAUCAGGCUGGCUGGGGAGAACGCAAAACAACAGCCCUGCAAGUGCGCUCUGCAGAACCUAAAGGCCAUUUUUGGGUCUGUGUCUCUAAUGUGGGUCAGCGUGGGUCUCUCUAGGGUAU